GGCAAAGACGACGGCGUUUGGUGGAUUGGACACCGGCAGCAGGAAGGAGAAAGACGUGCACAACGUGGCCGGGAUGAGGACGUACAGCGGGUUGACGUGGAUGGCUUCAGCCUGAGGAGCGUUUAAGAUCAAGGAAAUCAUGGAAAUAGUCUGUUCCAGGGUCAAACCAUGGCCAUCAUACGACGUCAUAACAUUUCAUAGGUGAGAGGAUGGGGAGGAAGAUGGUGAUAGUGGUGGCGUUGCUGGCCAGCUCCGUUACUGUGGUGACGAUGAUGCAAGCCACGGCGAUGGUCGCCAACACGGGGAGGUGGCCCAGCGGCGUGAGCAGCUCAGCGACCCACCGAGACAAGCCUGACUCCUGCACGUACAAUGACCAUUUUUUUAAUGUCUCUCAUGAAAACGGGGGCGUCCAAAGUGCCCAGGGUCCAGCUCUUUUUUUUAAUGGCUCUCAGCAUAUUGUAAAAA